UGGGGAAUUUUGCACAAUGGAGGAAACUCUGAUGCAGCGACGCCGCGUGAGUGAUGAAGAUCUUCGGAUUGUAAAACUCUGUCCUUAGUGAAGAUAAUGACAGUAACUAAGAAGCAAGCCCUGGCUAAAUACGUGCCAGCAGCCGCGGUAAUACGUAUGGGGCAAGCGUUGUCCGGAAUUAUUGGGCGUAAAGGGUACGUAGGCGGUUUAAUAAGUCCUAAUUAAAAGGCUAUGGCUCAACCAUAGUAUGGUUAGGAAACUGUUGAACUUGAGUAGAUGAGGGGAAAGUGGAAUUCCGUGUGUAGCGGUGAAAUGCGUAGAUAUAUGGAGGAACACCAAUGGCGAAGGCAACUUUCUGGAAUCAAACUGACGCUGAGGUACGAAGGCGUGGGGAGCAAACAGG
rnacentral:rRNA from 1 species